rnacentral:rRNA from 1 species
GGGGUAUGGUUCUUCGGAACCGAGACCGGCGCACGGGUGCUUAACGCGUAUGCAAUCUACCUUUUACAGAGGGAUAGCCCAGAGAAAUUUGGAUUAAUACCUCAUAGCAUAGCGACUUCGCAUGAAGACGCUAUUAAAGUCACAACGGUAAAAGAUGAGCAUGCGUCCCAUUAGCUAGUUGGUAAGGUAACGGCUUACCAAGGCUACGAUGGGUAGGGGUCCUGAGAGGGAGAUCCCCCACACUGGUACUGAGACACGGACCAGACUCCUACGGGAGGCAGCAGUGAGGAAUAUUGGACAAUGGGCGCAAGCCUGAUCCAGCCAUGCCGCGUGCAGGAUGACGGUCCUAUGGAUUGUAAACUGCUUUUAUACGAGAAGAAACACUCCAACGUGUUGGAGCUUGACGGUAUCGUAAGAAUAAGGAUCGGCUAACUCCGUGCCAGCAGCCGCGGUAAUACGGAGGAUCCAAGCGUUAUCCGGAAUCAUUGGGUUUAAAGGGUCCGUAGGCGGUUUAGUAAGUCAGUGGUGAAAGCCCAUCGCUCAACGGUGGAACGGCCAUUGAUACUGCUAAACUUGAAUAUU